GGGGGAUAACGUAGCGAAAGUUACGCUAAUACCGCAUACGAUCUACGGAAUGAAAGCGGGGGAUCGCAAGACCUCGCGCGAGUGGAGCGGCCGAUGUCAGAUUAGGUAGUUGGUGGGGUAAAGGGCUCACCAAGCCAACGAUCUGUAGCUGGGUCUUGAGAGGACGACCAGCCACACUGGGAACUGAGACACGGUCCAGACUCCUACGGGAGGCAGCAGUGGGGAAUUUUGGACAAUGGGCGCAAGCCUGAUCCAGCCAUUCCGCGUGCAGGAUGAAGGCCUUCGGGUUGUAAACUGCUUUUGUACGGAACGAAACGGCGAGCUCUAAUACAGUUUGCUAAUGACGGUACCGUAAGAAUAAGCACCGGCUAACUACGUG
rnacentral:rRNA from 1 species